rnacentral:rRNA from 1 species
CGGUGUUCAACUGGCGUGUCCGCGGGACGUCCUGCCGGUGGGCUUAGCCCGCAAGGGCGGCCCAACUUCAAAUCCCAUCGCGGUGCUCUUCACUGAGUGUCGAGGUGGGCCGGCACGUUUACUUUGAACAAAUUAGAGUGCUUAAAGCAGGCUAAAACUUCGCCUGAAUACUGUGUGCAUGGAAUAAUGGAAUAGGACCUCGGUUCUAUUUUGUUGGUUUUCGGAACCCCGAAGUAAUGAUUAAUAGGAACGGAUGGGGGCAUUCGUAUUGCGACGUUAGAGGUGAAAUUCUUGGAUCGUCGCAAGACGGACAGAAGCGAAAGCAUUUGCCAAAAACGCUUUCAUUGAUCAAGAACGAAAGUUAGAGGUUCGAAGGCGAUCAGAUACCGCCCUAGUUCUAACCAUAAACGAUGCCAGCUAGCGAUCCGUCGACGUUCCUCCGAUGACUCGACGGGCAGCUUCCGGGAAACCAAAGCUUUUGGGUUCCGGGGGAAGUAUGGUUGCAAAGCUGAAACUUAAAGGAAUUGACGGAAGGGCACCACCAGGAGUGGAGCCUGCGGCUUAAUUUGACUCAACACGGGAAACCUCACCAGGCCCGGACACCGGAAGGAUUGACAGAUUGAGAGCUCUUUCUUGAUUCGGUGGGUGGUGGUGCAUGGCCGUUCUUAGUUGGUGGAGCGAUUUGUCUGGUUAAUUCCGAUAACGAACGAGACUCUAGCCUGCUAACUAGGCGUAUUUUCGACAUCUCAAAGGUCCGUCGUCCCGGCCCUCGGGUCGUGGGCGUGCGCGAUUUUUACUGUCGGCGUACUAUCAAUUCUUCUUAGAGGGACAGGUGGCUUCUAGCCGCACGAGAUUGAGCAAUAACAGGUCUGUGAUG